rnacentral:rRNA from 1 species
AUAUUGGUCAAUGGACGGAAGUCUGAACCAGCCAUGCCGCGUGCAGGAUGACGGCUCUAUGAGUUGUAAACUGCUUUUGUACGAGGGUAAACCCGAAUACGUGUAUUCGGCUGAAAGUAUCGUACGAAUAAGGAUCGGCUAACUCCGUGCCAGCAGCCGCGGUAAUACGGAGGAUCCAAGCGUUAUCCGGAUUUAUUGGGUUUAAAGGGUGCGUAGGCGGUCAGAUAAGUUAGAGGUGAAAUUCCGGUGCUUAACACCGGCGCUGCCUCUAAUACUGUUUGACUAGAGAGUAGUUGCGGUAGGCGGAAUGUAUGGUGUAGCGGUGAAAUGCUUAGAGAUCAUACAGAACACCGAUUGCGAAGGCAGCUUACCAAGCUAUAUCUGACGUUGAGGCACGAAAGCGUGGGGAGCAAACAGGAUUAGAUACCCUGGUAGUCCACGCAGUAAACGAUGAUAACUCGUUGUCGGCGAUACAAUGUCGGUGACUAAGCGAAAGCGAUAAGUAUCCACCUGGGGAGUACGUUCGCAAGAAUGAAACUCAAAGGAAUUGACGGGGGCCCGCACAAGCGGAGGAACAUGUGGUUUAAUUCGAUGAUACGCGAGGAACCUUACCCGGGCUUGAAAGUUAGUGACGGACUUGGAAACAAUGUCUCCCUUCGGGGCACGAAACUAGGUGCUGCAUGGUUGUCGUCAGCUCGUGCCGUGAGGUGUCGGGUUAAGUCCCAUAACGAGCGCAACCCCUACCGUUAGUUGCCAUCAGGUAAAGCUGGGCACUCUAGCGGGACUGCCGGUGUAAGCCGAGAGGAAGGGGGGGAUGACGUCAAAUCAGCACGGCCCUUACGUCCGGGGCUACACACGUGUUACAAUGGUAGGUACAGAGGGCAGCUACCCUGCGAAGGGAUGCGAAUCUCGAAAGCCUAUCUCAGUUCGGAUUGGAGGCUGAAACCCGCCUCCAUGAAGUUGGAUUCGCUAGUAAUCGCGCAUCAGCCAUGGCGCGGUGAAUACGUUCCCGGGCCUUGUACACACCGCCCGUCAAGCCAUGGGAGCUGGGGGUGCCUGAAGUUCGUGACCGCAAGGAGCGACCUAGGGCAAAACCGGUAACUGGGGCUAAGUCGUAACAAGGUAGCCGUACCGGAAGGUGCGGCUG